GCAUGUCAUAUUAUGAGCGUUCGGAAGUACGUGUAAUAUUAUCUUCAGUAGCACCAGGGGUCGCGUGUAAUUCGAUCACUGAUAUUCAAUCUUUAAUAUCAUGGCUGAAAACAACGAUAUCAAAAUUUAAGAUACAUUUUGCAGUUUUCGGAAUUUUAACAAUGGAAUACGAUAGCAUGAACUUCAAAGAAUGAUAUAAUCUUAUGAAAGGGGC
rnacentral:lncRNA from 1 species